rnacentral:piRNA from 1 species
UGGUGAACACUUGUGACUACUAGUUUCCCACU